rnacentral:rRNA from 1 species
AUUGAACGUUGGCGACGUGCCUAACACAUGCAAGUCGAGCGCGAAAGUUCUUCGGAAUGAGUAGAGCGGCGAACGGGUGAGUAAUGCGUGAGAAUCUACCUUUUAGUGAAGAAUACCCUUGAGAAAUUAAGGUUAAUACUGCAUACGUCUCGAAAGAGAGAAAGAUGGCCUUGUUGCUGUCGCUAAAAGAUGAGCUUGCGUUCUAUUAGCUAGUUGGUGGGGUAAAGGCCUACCAAGGCGAUGAUGGAUAGCCGGCCUGAGAGGGUGUACGGCCACACUGGAACUUAGAUACGGUCCAGACUCCUACGGGAGGCAGCAGUGAGGAAUAUUGCACAAUGGGCGCAAGCCUGAUGCAGCGACGCCGCGUGAGGGAUGACGGCCUUCGGGUUGUAAACCUCUUUCAGCACAGACGAAGCGCAAGUGACGGUAUGUGCAGAAGAAGGACCGGCCAACUACGUGCCAGCCGCCGCCGUAAGAC